AGAGCGAACGCUGGCGGCAGGCUUAACACAUGCAAGUCGAGCGGGCGUAGCAAUACGUCAGCGGCAGACGGGUGAGUAACGCGUGGGAACGUACCUUUGGUUCGGAACAACACAGGGAAACUUGUGCUAAUACCGGAUAAGCCCUUACGGGGAAAGAUUUAUCGCCAAAAGAUCGGCCCGCGUCUGAUUAGCUAGUUGGUGAGGUAACGGCUCACCAAGGCGACGAUCAGUAGCUGGUCUGAGAGGAUAAUCAGCCACAUUGGGACUGAGACACGGCCCAAACUCCUACGGGAGGCAGCAGUGGGGAAUAUUGGACAAUGGGCGCAAGCCUAAUCCAGCCAUGCCGCGUGAGUGAUGAAGGCCCUAGGGUUGUAAAGCUCUUUUGUGCGGGAAGAUAAUGACGGUACCGCAAGAAUAAGCCCCGGCUAACUUCGCGCCAGCAGCCGC
rnacentral:rRNA from 1 species